rnacentral:rRNA from 1 species
UACGUAGGGCGCAAGCGUUGUCCGGAAUUAUUGGGCGUAAAGAGCUCGUAGGCGGCUUGUCGCGUCGGUUGUGAAAGCCCGGGGCUUAACCCCGGGUCUGCAGUCGAUACGGGCAGGCUAGAGUUCGGUAGGGGAGAUCGGAAUUCCCGGUGUAGCGGUGAAAUGCGCAGAUAUCAGGAGGAACACCGGUGGCGAAGGCGGAUCUCUGGGCCGAUACUGACGCUGAGGAGCGAAAGCGUGGGGAGCGAACAGG